AUGCCGUUUAUUAUUUCACACAACAGGAAGUUUGGGCAGGCUUCAUGGCUGCCGGCUCCACGGCUCAGAGAUGUCCUCCAGGACCAGGUUCUUGCCGUCUCUCUGCUCUGCCAUCCUUGACGUUAGCCUUGUUUUCAGUCUGGCCACAAGGUGGUGGCAGCAGCUCCAGGGGUCACAUUUGGGCAACAGAACCUGGAGGAAGAAGAGAGACCACCUCUCCCGGGCAUCCUUCUGGAGGGAAGAGACAUCCCAGAAGCACCCCCAUGCAGACCCGAACCCAGCGACCUCGUCUCACAUUUCAUUGGUCAGAACUGGGUCACAUGUCCAUUCCUGAACCAAUCACAUGCAAAGAAUGGGAUCACAUGAUUGGUUCAGAUUAAUGGUUGGGCGUGGACUGGAAACUGAGCGUCAAGCUCCUUGUCCUCUGCCCUAAAAGACCAGGAUUCUAUGGGCCUUGCUGGGCUCUUGCCUUCAAAAACCCAGGCCUCCUAAUUCUCCCCAGAAACAGCUGCAUUGGAGACCCCAAGUCUCGGGAGCACACCCCUGCUUCCUGCCCUGUGACUGGUCAGUCUUUAACCUGUGCCUUGGCGGGCGCUGGCUUUGCGGUGCUUCCUCUGCAGGGACUGACCUCGGACACCCAGCUUGUCAUUGCCCCGGGGGCGUCCUGGCUUUGGUUCUGUUAACACCUCAGUGCUGAGAAGGCACCUCAGCCCUGGCUUUCUCUCCCUGUCCCGUUCUCUCUCUUGGGCCCCCUGCCUCGAGGCCCAGAUUUUAUAUCUUUGCUCCCAUAAACCUCUGGUCCCUGAAGCUUUCCUCUCAACCUCAGCGGGUCCCCACCUCUCCGUCAAGUUCAGUCUUGGGAAAAUGCCAGGCAUGAUGGCUCGCACCUGUGGUUUCAGCUGUUCCGGAGGCCAAGGCAGGAUGAUAACUUGAGCCCAGGAGGUCAAGGGGUCAAGGCUGUAGUGAGCCAUGAUCCUGCCACUGCACUCCAACCUGGGGGAUAGAGUGAAAUCCCGUCUCUGAAAAAAUAAAUAAAUACAUACAUAAAAAACAUUUGCUGUCUCAUUUGAAGGUAAAUGGCAGGCAUGUCAACAGACCACUUACAGACCUUAGCAGCGUCUGCUAAGAAUAAAAGCUUUCUCCAAAAUCCCAAU
rnacentral:lncRNA from 1 species